rnacentral:rRNA from 1 species
CCUACGGGGGGCAGCAGUGGGGAAUAUUGGACAAUGGGGGCAACCCUGAUCCAGCCAUGCCGCGUGUGUGAAGAAGGCCCUCGGGUUGUAAAGCACUUUCAGUGAGGAAGAACGCCUGGUGGUUAAUACCCAUCAGGAAAGACAUCACUCACAGAAGAAGCACCGGCUAACUCCGUGCCAGCAGCCGCGGUAAUACGGAGGGUGCGAGCGUUAAUCGGAAUUACUGGGCGUAAAGCGCGCGUAGGUGGCUUGAUAAGCCGGUUGUGAAAGCCCCGGGCUCAACCUGGGAACGGCAUCCGGAACUGUCAAGCUAGAGUGCAGGAGAGGAAGGUAGAAUUCCCGGUGUAGCGGUGAAAUGCGUAGAGAUCGGGAGGAACACCAGUGGCGAAGGCGGCCUUCUGGACUGACACUGACACUGAGGUGCGAAAGCGUGGGUAGCAAACAGGAUUAGAUACCCUUGUAGUC